UCUAUCAGUUAUGUUCUGAGACUUCUUGAGGUUUCAGAGAAAUCACAAGACACUGCCUUAGCAUUUAUUUACUCACAGGAGUAGAAACGUUCUUUGUGCUUCAGCUUAGUGAAAAUGCUAAAUGCCAAGGAAGCUGAAUGAACCGAGGUAUCUGUGUCUGUUAUGUCAGUGUGGGAACAGGGAGCUCGACCAGAGAGCAGAAAUAUGGGAACAAGGAAAGAACCCUGACCUCAAGCAGCAGCAUGAACCAGCCUCUCUGAGUUAGUGCACACAUUCUGUUUGGCUCUCUUCUGUGACCAGACCGAUGCAGACAGAAAACCAAUACCCCAGCAUUUACCUACCAGAUGGCAGAGUUUCUGGGAAGAAAAAAGGCUGAAGAUGUGAUAAUCUGACCUCGCAGAAGCAGCAUCACUUCAUGUUCCAGCAAGAGCACUGCAUGCAACACAAGUGUGAGUAGAGCUCACACGGCAGCUGUGGGUGCACACUUCAAGGACGCCAUCAGAGAUGUUUCAGUUCCAGCUGACCAAGCAGGAUGCUCCUUCCCAGCUACCUCACAAUGUCUUUUCACACAACUGGUCAUCCAGGGAGAAACCCCUUUGUAUUGAAGCAGGUGGUUCCUUAAUCAGUUGGUAACAAACUCAAAAAUACAAGUCUUCCUAAAGCAUCUUGCACUGCUAGUAUGAACCAGACAGCGUAAAUCUCAUGCUUUGAGCAUGCUUUGAGAUGUGCAGCUCAGAAAACAACUGAAAACACAGCCAAAUCAGUAGUUUUGCUUCAGAGAAAUCACAUUUCUGGGUCUGAUUUUGUCCUUACAAUAGAUUUAAGAGAAUGUACAAUUACUGCGUCAAUUAAGUUCACUUUCCCUGCUAAUGCCUGUCUGGAAAGAGGUUUUCACAGGCCAACAGAAAAGGAAAAUGUUUCUACAGAUCCAAAGGUUCUUCCCACUAACAACAUUAAUGCCAUGUUCACUGUUAGUUCAGAAGCAUAUGAGAUGACGGGACAUGGAAAGCUGAGCAUUCAAAAUUCUGCCACUAGUAGGUAGAAAUAAAUUCUUUUUAAUGUAUUUGGGGAUGCUGGAAAGAAGUUACCAAGUAGUUACUAAACUUCUACAGACAUAGAAUUUUUGCAAAUUAAAUUAGUAAUUCAGAAUUACCAUGGAUUAAAAAUACCGCUCUGUAAAGAUAAAUUGCUUAGCCCCAUUGCUUAGUUUUCUAGUCAUUUUUUAACUGCUGCUAAUAAUUCACUAAGCCUUAAAAAACCCUAACAUAUUCUAACCUGUGAGUCAACAAAAAUCUACACAGGGAAACUAAAAACCCAUGAGGCCAAACUAAAAAGGGAAAAUGUUUCUACAGAUUCAAAGAUUCUUUCCACUAACAAUGUUAAUGUCAAGUUCAAUACCAUUGCUAAGACACACAUUCUCUCUGUCUUCUCUAUGAAAUAUAAUUUGUGCAUGUCAACAGGAAGGACCUUAGAAAAAAUUUUUAGGAAAAAUGAUUAGGAAAAUUGUUUUUUCUUAAUGAGUGAUGUGUGCUACUUCUGCAAUGGGAGUUGGGUGCUGCAGUGCCCUGCUACUCUUGGACAGUGACAUUAAGCUCACUAGAAGAAAAUCCUGGAAUGACUGCAACAUUUUUGCUUAUUAGAAGAGGAACAGCUUCCAUGACAAGAAAUAUAUAUUGGUAGUCAACUGGAAAACCACAAAGAAGAUACUAAUGCUUACCAAACUCACACUGGCAGGCUUUUUUCCAGUGAGACUAUAUAUUACUAGCAGGUGUUGCAAAACACAGCAAAGAAUUUACUUUUAAUAAAAUUUCUUUCAACAACAACAAUUUGGUGUACAAGUACCCAAGCAACCCAAACAAUCAACUGAUAAAUCAGAUUAAUCUUUUUAAUGACCAGAAAUAAAAACCCUGAAAAACUUA